rnacentral:rRNA from 1 species
AUUGAACGCUGGCGGCAUGCUUUACACAUGCAAGUCGAACGGCAGCACGGGCUUCGGCCUGGUGGCGCGUGGCGAACGGGUGAGUAAUAUAUCGGAACGUACCCAGAAGUGGGGGAUAACGUAGCGAAAGUUACGCUAAUACCGCAUACGAUCUAUGGAUGAAAGCAGGGGACCGCAAGGCCUUGUGCUCCUGGAGCGGCCGAUAUCUGAUUAGCUAGUUGGUGAGGUAAAGGCUCACCAAGGCGACGAUCAGUAGCUGGUCUGAGAGGACGACCAGCCACACUGGAACUGAGACACGGUCCAGACUCCUACGGGAGGCAGCAGUGGGGAAUUUUGGACAAUGGGCGCAAGCCUGAUCCAGCAAUGCCGCGUGAGUGAAGAAGGCCUUCGGGUUGUAAAGCUCUUUUGUCAGGGAAGAAACGGUAGAGGCUAAUAUCCUUUGCUAAUGACGGUACCUGAAGAAUAAGCACCGGCUAACUACGUG